GAUGAACGCUGGCGGCGUGCCUAAUACAUGCAAGUCGAGCGAACGGACGAGAAGCUUGCUUCUCUGAUGUUAGCGGCGGACGGGUGAGUAACACGUGGAUAACCUACCUAUAAGACUGGGAUAACUUCGGGAAACCGGAGCUAAUACCGGAUAAUAUUUUGAACCGCAUGGUUCAAAAGUGAAAGACGGUCUUGCUGUCACUUAUAGAUGGAUCCGCGCUGCAUUAGCUAGUUGGUAAGGUAACGGCUUACCAAGGCAACGAUGCAUAGCCGACCUGAGAGGGUGAUCGGCCACACUGGAACUGGGACACGGUCCAGACUCCUACGGGAGGCAGCAGUAGGGAAUCUUCCGCAAUGGGCGAAAGCCUGACGGAGCAACGCCGCGUGAGUGAUGAAGGUCUUCGGAUCGUAAAACUCUGUUAUUAGGGAAGAACAUAUGUGUAAGUAACUGUGCACAUCUUGACGGUACCUAAUCAGAAAGCCACGGCUAACUACGU
rnacentral:rRNA from 1 species